rnacentral:misc_RNA from 1 species
UUAAGUUCAGCGGGUAUCCCUACCUGAUCCGAGGUCAACCUGAGAAGGUGGGCCGCGAGGGCCCGGUUUGUCCGGCAGGCGAAGCCCAACUCAGAAGCGAAUAAAAAUUCUACCACGCUUAGAGAAAGGCACCACCGCCGAUGGCUUCGAGGCACGCCGGGGAGACUCCCCGGCGACGCCCAAUACCAAGCAGAGCUUGA